AACGACAUUAACAAAAACACAACGACAUUAAGAAAACGGAAAAGGUAGGUCCCAGUGGAGACCUAAGAAAUCGCUGAUUGGACUACAGCUCGUUAGAAAACGGAAAAGGUAGGUCCCAGUGGAGACCUAAGAAAUCGCUGAUUGGACUACAGCUCGUUUUACUUCUGAACCGGAAGUUUUUCUGGAGACCCUUUUCACAGUGAUGUCAGACAAUGGGCGCCGUAACUCGAAGAGAUGUAUCUUUACUUCUGGUGUGAUUUUGCCUCGGGAAACCUGACUGAAAAAUUCACGGAUACUCAUUAGCUUAAAGAUAUACUAAAAGGUAAGGUUAAUUACAACAGCAUUUACGUGUUAGCCGUUAUUACUCAUUGUCAAUCCACCAUUCUCUAACUGUGUAUAUAAUAAACAGCCUCCGAUCGGAGAAUAAACCAGCUAGCAGCAGCUUUAGCCACAGUUGGGAACAUAUAUACACCGCUGUCUGUCAGUGCUGUAACGUUUAGAGGUUCACUUUCUGUAUUAACUUUAAUAAAACAGUAUUGUUGCCUCACAAUGUACAUCCAUCUACAGUCACAGUAUGCACAUCUACUGCCUAAUUUCAUGUGACGAAGUUCAUCUUAAGCUAGCUUGAGACACGACAUGUUCAAAACUGGGGUUGGACAUGAUGGGUGUUUUCAAAAUGUUCCAGUCCGUAAGAUUUGGUUCCACUGAGGACCAAAAAUGCUACAUUUGUUACAUUGUUACAUUUUCAGCUGCUGCGGUUCGCUUUCACACUGCACUGUUCCCUCGUCCCGCCUGUGGUGGCGCUGCACCAACAGCUGCUGAAGGAAACAACACAUAAACCUCAGAAGAAGACGUGAACGCAACCUCUGAUCUUAACUUAUGCAAAACAAUGAGAUCGUAUCGUGUUAAAAACGUAUCUAAGGUUUCUGAAAACUUUUUUCUUGUGCACAGAAUAUGCUUGUUUAAUAUCCGUUCAUGAUAAUAGUCUUACCGGUGGACUGCUGCAGUCCAAGUUCACCUCAAAACACACGUUACCAGGCAGAACACACUCUGACUUUGUCCGAAAGCUGCAGAUCCCUGCUCACCACCCAGUUUGUCAUCAAACACAAAGACAGGCGCAGUGUACUUCAGAGACCUGUUCGAAGCUAACGCUGGAGGGACCCAUGUUUGUGCUUCUGUGUUUGUCUUUGUGUGUGUGUGUGUGUGUGUGUGUGUGUGUGUAGGCGGUAGGUGGGGAGGUGAAGCCACUCGUCCUUGUAAGGGGUUUUACCCUGAGUACUGGUAAUCAAUCAAUAAGUGAUGUUGUGUGAAGAGGUCACAGUGACAUGGGACUUUUUUUCCCUCCUUUUCUGUCUUAAUUUCCAAAUGAAAGCUGCUUCUUUUUUGUUGUUGUUAUUGGCUUUUAAAUUUAUGCACACUCAUAGGUAUAAUCCUGUAUAAGAUCAUUUUAUGCCAAACUCAGCAUGGCAUUAAAAACCCAGGGAGCUUCACGGAGACCCUCAAUGAAUGAAGCCAAUCAUAUUAUGUUUCUCAUGCUAUGGAAAAAGGCGUGAAAGCAGUCACUCAGGAACAACUGAAGACAUUAGGUUCUUUAUUACGGCUGUCUGGAGAACAGAGUGGAAAGGAACAGAGGAAUAUUACCGCCAUGCAUCAUCCGCAUGGUGUGGGCACACUUCACUAAUCCUGAGAUGAAAACAGUGCAGAGUUCCUGGGUAAAAGGUAACCACACACCUCAAACUGUGAAAGAUUCUGUUGGGAUUGUGUGCUUGCACUUUUUCAGCAGGUGAGCCACUUCUAAAAUCCCCAAGUUAAAAUGAUCUACCUACUUCUAAAAUGCAAAACAUGCAUUUAUUUAUGUAAAGAAAUUGAGAAUUCUUUAUGUGUUUCACUCCGUAUGAUAGUGGUAAGCUUUUGUUGUCUUACUUGGUCCGGCUCUCCGUCUCAUUUUUAUACCCUCCCUAAAGUUUAAGAGAAAAACCGAGAGCUAAAAACUUAAGGUAACUCGCUACCCAGCUAGUUUUGCUGAAUUUAGCACUGUUGUUUGCACAGGCGCAGUGAACCCAAGUGUCAAGUGAUGUUGAAAGUUUGGAAUAUAGUUUAAUGACUUAAUCCUGCUUUAAACUCCUUAACAACUUCAUCCAUGACAUAUCUGGCGUUUUUUUUUUUUUGUUGUUAUUUUUGAUGCCAUUUGUUCACAAAUGUUCUCUCAACAAACCCCUGAGCUGUCAUAGCAACAUACUGAGAUACUUAUAUAAAAUUAGACUGCCACGUGUUAAUUGGGUAACAUGUGGCAACAUUUGUUUGCACUUUGGGUUAUUAUUAAAAAGGGGAAACUCGUUUUUCGUUUUUUUCUGUCAAUAAAAACAAUCAUUAUUGCUGGAUGAUAUGGCUACAGAAUAUGUCAAUAUAACACUUUCAUAUCAGAUAAUACUAAUAGUUAUUCAACUGUUUUUUUUUUGUUUUGUUUGUUUGUUUGUUUUAAAUAACUGAAAUUUAGCCAAACUGGUGACGUGACAUUUCCCUCUUUUGCUCACAAUUUCUUCUCAAGUUGCUCUACUCAUUAUAUUAAUUUUCUCCUUUCAUUUCACAUUGCUUUUUUUUUUUUUAGUUUUCAGCAGUUAUCAGGUACGGUGGCGAAACCUGAAACCGCCGCUACGCGAGUCACUCAACAGGUUGUUGCUAGGGAACCAAAGUGAGCUGAUUAGCUAGCCGUGAGAGGUUGAGCGGCUCAAGUCUUUCCUACAUCGCCCAGGAUGUUUUGCGACUCUGGAUCAGAGUUCAGUGAAAUUAUUGAAAAUUCCGUAGCAUGUAUUAUCUAUUGAUACUGAUCACAUGUCUGUCGCAAAAUAUAUAGUUAUUGAUUUAUUGCCCAGCUCUACAAACCAUGAACACUUCUGACUUCACAUUUACACUUAUGUACUAUUUUGUCUAUCGGGAAAUUCCAAUAAAAUACACAGAACUCAGCGGUUCUAAUGUGACGAAACGCUUCAAGACUCUUGAGGUUGGAAAAUAAAAACAUGCAACAUGAUUAUCAGACCUGUUGCCAAAAGUCAGAUAGAUGUUCAUCAACCCUUCCUGACAGAAAUUGCUUAUUUUACUCAUCUGACAGGACUUAAAAGUUGACAUCUGUCCUUAUGUCCAAUAAAAAAAAGUAACAAAAACAAAUUUUAGACCUGUACAACACAGUAGAACCAUAUAAUACAACUAAAAGUUUAAAAUCGCCUCCAGGAAGUCACUGAGUGCCGUUAGCUUUAGUGGAUGUUUUCAUUACUCCAAACCCUCCAUCAAUAAAAGGUUAUUGCCUUUUUUUUCUUUUCUUUUCUUUUUUUUUUUUUUUUACAAAAUGAACGUUAAUUUUUACAUUCAUCUUUUAAAUGAAAUAUUAAGCAUACAAAAGGGACGUAUUUUAAAGAGCCAGACACUUCUGGGCACAUCAAACACAUUUUUUCCCCCCUCCAGCAGCUCUUCAUCUGGGAGUGCUGCCACACGGGCUGCAUAUCACAUCCUUGAACUGUUGUAAAUUUUGAUUGUCUGUUCAUUAAUGUGUCAUGAGCUUUUUAUGGAUGUGCCAUAUAAACCAUUUAGAGGACAGCAGAAACAUUGUGCAUGAUCUCAGUGACUGAGAGGAUUUCCUGACAAGAGUCAUCACCGCCAGCCAUUUGCUCUGUGAGCUAAUCACCAGCUUUCUGUGACACGACGAGCGGCGCGCGCAGUCAGCAAUUUUGGGGACGUUGUGUUGCCCGGCAAAAGUGCUGAUUAAUACAACUUGUGCGCUAUUUGAAACCGUAUUGACAGAUCAGAAGGAAAAAGAACAAGAAGCUUGGGAGAGCGGCGGCUCUCGGUUGAGAGAGAGGAGAGGAAAACGGGAGGAUGGUGUGAUGAAAUGUCAAGCAUGAAAAAGCUAGGUGGGCGCAGUCCUUUAAUUAAUUGACUGCGAGUAGAAGUGUGGUCACUGACCCGUGCACGGGAUGCAUUAUCAAAGACCAAUCCACUUCACUUAAUUGAUUAAGUCAUGUGGCUGCAGUGAAAACUUAGCUGUGUCAUUUUAAUAAAAACUCACGCCUUUGUUUCUAAAGUCAGGUUUUGUUGUUUCUGGUCAACUGUUGCUGCUCUGGAGUAAAAUCACUUAAAUUAUUUCAUUUGGACUUUAAAUUUGAUUUAUUGUUUCAAACUGGAGCUUUCAGAUUUUCUCCACUGCUGAACCAAAAGCAAAACAACAUUUAGCUUCAGUUUGAAAACGAGGUUUGGGAAUCCUGCCUGUGGAUCAGUGAAUGGAAACUGGAACUUUGUAGGCCGUCAUGAUCAGAGCUGCCAGGAAGAAGAAUAAAGUGUGGAUGGAAGAGCUCACCAUGCUGGGUGCUGUGGUGGUGCAGGGCUUAAGCAUAACCCACAGAUGGACCCUUAGUCCUCCAUGCGGCCGUUGUGGGUUUGGUGACCCGGUGACCCUUGUAGCAUGUCUUCUCUCUCUCUCAUUACCUACUUUCUUGUCUUAGCACUUUCAAAUAAAGGCCAGUAAAGACAAGAAAAAACUUUAAAAAAAAGAUUGCCAUGUUUGCAAUGAAGCACAGCGUUGGCUCAGUAAUGCCCUGGACUUGCUUUUCUUCUCUGGAAUCAUGAAGAAUCCAGAGGGAAAAACGGAUAAAAAUGAAAUAUGAGAAAAAUCACUGGAGAAAAAAAAGUCAUGUUGACUGUGGGGAUCAAUAAAACAGGCGUCCUGUGAAAUGCAUGUAAACAGAAAAAACCUGCUGUAGCGCAGCAGAAAGCAAGUGGGAGAGUGUGAGUGGAGUGCACACAAGCAUGAUUAACAACGCUAAGACCUUCCUCCCGGCUCUGAUUGGUUGUUUCCGACUGAGUGGUGUAUGUCUGUAGUUAGCACUGGAUGAAGCAGGCAUAGGAGCAUUUUUUUUUAUCCCGUACUGUUUUUUAAAAUAAAAAUGACAUAGUGUAGCUUUAACAAGUCAAAGCGGCUAAAACAAAACUAAUUUUGAGACUGCAGCAGUCAUUAAAGCUUUCACUGUGUAUAUAAUUUGGACCACUCACCUGUAUGUCAGUCGUGCUGAGCUAUUUAAUUUGUUCUUACUAUUUUGUUUAUGGCAAACACUUGCUGGUUUGUGUAUGUUGCCAAUAAACCUAAUUUUAGGUGCUGCCAUAUCUGAACGGAAUCAGUAGAACUGCUGUAAUCUGAAUGUUUUUUCUCUCUCCUCUUUGGACUUGUUAAGCAGAGUGAGCUGAGCUUUACAGCUUGGCUGUGAAUCCCACCCAUAAAGCAUCACCUUGAUUUCAUCCUCAUGACUUUGACAAGCCCUUUCUGUUUUGAAACCGUGGCAACGUUUUUAAAAAAAAAAUUCCGUGUAAAUGUAAAUAAUAGUAAAAAAAAAAAAA